UAGAACUCUCACUCUACUCAAUGCCCACCCUUUUACCACCCCAUUCCUUUCCCAAUGAAAUGGCCAGAGAAUAACCCUCCACCAUGAAUGACCAAUACCACCGAGCAGCCAGGGAUGGCUACCUGGACCUGCUAAAGGAAGCUACCAAGAAGGAGCUAAACUCGCCUGAUGAAGAUGGCAUGACCCCCACUCUGUGGGCUGCCUACCAUGGCAACCUGGAUGCUUUAAGGUUGAUAGUUGGCAGAGGGGGUGAUCCAGACAAAUGUGAUAUCUGGGGGAACACGCCUCUUCAUCUGGCAGCAGCCAAUGGCCAUCUGAAUUGCCUUUCCUUCUUGGUGUCUUUUGGGGCCAACAUCUGGUGCCUAGACAAUGAUUACCAUACACCACUGGACAUGGCUGCCAUGAAGGGCCAUAUGGAGUGUGUGCGUUAUUUGGACUCCAUUGCUGCCAAGCAAAGCGGCCUCAACCCUAAGCUGGUGAGCAAACUGAAAGACAAGGCCUUCAAAGAUGCAGAGAGGCGUAUUAAGGACUGUGUAAAAAUGCAGAAAAAGCAUCACGAGCGGAUGGAGAAGAGGUACAGGAAAGAGAUGUCGGAUCACUCGGACACUAUGAGUUUUUCCAGCUAUGCCAGCAGCACUUUGAGCAGGAGGUUCCAGCACAUGCCCACUAUGACUUCUUUGCCAUAUUCUCAGGCCACCAUACACGGCACUGCCAAGGGCAAGACCAAAAUCCAGAAAAAGCUCGAGAAAAAGAAGCAGGUUGAUGGGACAUUCAAGAUCUAUGAGGAUGGCAGGAAAAGUGUGAGGUCCUUGUCUGGUUUACAACUGGGCAAUGAUGUUAUGUUUGUGAAGCAGGGCACCUACGCUAGUCCAAAGGAGUGGACCCGGCGAAAUAUUAGAGACAUGUUUCUGACCGAAGAAGAUACCAUCUCCCGUGCCAUAAGCGACCCAGGUUUGCACAUGGACUCAGCCCACUCUGAGGUCAGCACUGAUUCUGGUCAUGACUCUUUAUUCAACCGCCCUGGACUUGGCACUAUGGUCUUCCGCAGGAACUAUGUCAGCGGUGGACUGUUUGGAAUCGGUCAGGAUGAUCCCAGCGUUCUGGAAGAGGGUGACAUGGAUAGAUUAGCUGUCAAACUGCACAACCGCCUGCAGCGCUCGCCAAGUCUCAAUGACAGCAUCGGCAGUGCCAACAGCCUGCAGGAGAGGAAUGAGGAGGAGCUGCCAUGGGAUGAUGUGGUACUAGGCCUGGAUGAUGAUCCCGAACCCGACACCAGCCCCCUAGAGACCUUCCUGGCUUCAUUGCAUAUGUUUGAAUUCAUUUCCAUCCUCAAGAAAGAGAAAAUUGAUCUGGAAGCUCUUAUGUUGUGUUCGGACAAUGAUCUGAAGAGCAUCAAUAUCCCACUGGGGCCCAGGAAAAAGAUUCUGGAUGCUGUCCAGAGAAGGAAACAGACUUUGGACAAUCCUGAUGUCAUAGAAGACACAGAUCUGUAAGCAAUAGGGCCCCAGCUUCAUAGUUAAGGAGACGUACAGAUAUACAAUGUACUUUAUACAUAUGAUGCAUUUGAAGACUAGAGUCCCAUUAGAUUCAGGAGAAUCUCUAGGUAUAACAAAAACUUGUUAACUAUACGUUACAGUAGUUGCAAGCUGGGUUCAUAAGAGUGGAGGUGCUCAGUAUCCUAAGAUAACCAUCUGGAACAUUCCUAGAUUGGAUUUGCAUCAGUACCUUGGGAUAGCAGUUUUUAGAGAACAAACAACAAACAAAAAGUUCUAAGUUGCCAGAAAACAACUCCCAGUGACCCUAACAGAGGGAAACCUGAACGCCACAACAAAACCCCCCCAGUUCUAACUCAUUUCUCAGCUUCCCUGUUCUGCUUACUUGUCUGCAGAAAUCUGCCAGAUAGCAACCUUGUGCUAAAGAUAACUUUGGAGAUAUGAAAUACAUGAAACUAAUCUAAAAGUUGCUUGUUUGGGGCAGUAGAAACAGAAUGCUGAUUAUAUAGUACUUGUCAGUAUGUCCAAACUACCAUAUACUUUAAUCAGAAUGGUUUUAAAAUGGCAAAAUUGUUAAUUUUGGGUAUAUUAAUUUAUGAAUAAUUUAUUGCAAGUCUGAUUUGUUUCAUUUCAAUUCCUGCCCUAACCUGAAUUUCCAUGAAACCUGCCGAAUCCCUAAUUCAAGUGCUGAGGCCUCCCAAGAGGGUUGCACCCUAACAAAGCAUAAGUCAUCAAUAACCUAGAGCAGAGAUAGAUUUAUUACAAGUAGAUUUAUAGUUCUUUGUCAGGGGUAAUAAUGGAAAUGACUGAAUUACUCAGUCCCCCA